AUCAGUAAAGACUCAUACUUUCUCAAAUCCAGCUGAGGAAAUUCUGAGGAGCUGGGAUUCUCUUUUAGCGAGUCUAGUCCAUCUUCUGAUUCUCGUCAUUACAGGACAAGGAAACUGAGGCACGGAGCCAUCCAUGUGAACAAGUCUCGUAGUAAGCGAUGGAACUAGGAUGCAACUCUCUGGUGUGAGUGCCCCGCUGUGAGCGCUACCUUUCCUCCUUCAAGCGGUAAUAAGCAGUAAAAAUAUUCAGUACCUAUUCUCCUCUGGGAAGGGAUGACACAACAGAGACAAUGGCAGGUUCCAAAAAUACACAAUGAAGAAAGGAGGACAUUCUGAACAGAUCUUUGGAGAGAAGGCAUUGAGAGCAGACAGGAGGAUGCAGACCCCAGGCUGAAAGAGGAGGAUACUGGGAACCGUGCAUGGGGUUUCCACGUGCCAAAACUGCUCCUGGCCUUGAGCAGCUCCUAGAAAACUGGUGAGUAAUAUAGGCAUGAAGUGGCCUACUUCUGCCACAGACCUCUGGGACAGUAGCUGUGGGAUACUUCACGAGCCCCAGGGACAUCUGAGCUGGCAGAGAGAACUUUCCAGAGAGUUAGUAGAGAUAGAACUCCAGCCUGUGUGGAGCCCAGAAGGUUUGGCAUGGGAACAGCUGCAAUAGGGUACAUCCACGGAUGCCUAUUCCACAAAGCUCACCAUACACCUGUAGUCAGCUUUAGCCUUUGUUUGCUGCCAGACCUGGACAGAGCAGGGUAGUCUUGCCUAUAGGAUGGGGCCAGUCAGAUCUGAGUGCGUCCUGUCUGCUAGCCUCUUCCAGGGUCACUGCCUGGCCACGCUCUUUUGUAGCACAGCCUCAGCUUGCUAGUGGCCAUUGUCAUAUCUUUUGCCAGCAGACCUUCCCUAACCAUUGGAGCACUUUUGCACACAGACCUCUACUGGCAUGUACCUGCCGGCAGCCUCCCCAACUGGUGUGCACUUGCUUGCAGCCCCUCUACCACUGUGCCAGCAUACAUGCACACAUGGAGCCCCUGCUGCCCUGCUAGCAUGUAUAUGUGCAGGGACCCAGCACCACCCCACCAGCAUGCAUCAGCACAUGGACCCACCACAAGUGCACACACAUGCAAUGACCCCUGCCAACCUGCCAGUACACACAUUUGCACUGACACAGCACCACAUAGCCAGCACACACACACAAAAGGGUGGACUGCCGCCCCACCAGCACUUUUGCUGGCAGUCCCCAUUGAAGUGUUGUUGCCAGUGGACUGGGACACCUCAGCCCCUCCAGUACGGCAGGUAUUUAACCUCAAGGAGCCAGAGAACAAAACUGCAUACCUAUUCCCAGACCCCAGAAACACAGCAUGCAGCCCAGGAGUGUUGAGCUAAGCCUUGGCCCCCAAAAGCAUCUGGAAAAGAAACCAAUCAACUAAACCCGACUUAACCAUAGUCAAACCCUCAAGGGAAUCAGAGAAUAUAAAAACAAGAAGGCCUACCCAAAAAGAACAGCAACUUCAAAUACUAAAGGAACAUCAGCCAACACAAAUGAAAAAGAACCAGUGCAAGAACUUUGGCAACUGUAAAAGUCAGGGUGUCUUCUUACCUCCAAAUGACUCUGUUAGCUCCCAGCAAUGGUUCUUAACCAGACUGAAUCAGCUCCCCAGCAAUGGUUCUUAAACAGACCAAAAUGACUGAAAUAAUAGACAUAGAAUUCAGGGUCUUUAUAGCAACAAAGAUCACCAAGAUUCAAGAGAAAGUAGAAACUCAAUCCAAGGAAUCUAAGGAAUCCAACAGAACUAUAUGAGAGCUGAAAGACAAAACAGCCAUUUUUAGAAAGAAUCUAACAGAUCUAGAGCUGAAAAACUCACUACAAGAAUUACAUAAUAUUGGCUGGG